CAGUCGCCGCGGUAAUACGAAGGGUGCAAGCGUUAAUCGGAAUUACUGGGCGUAAAGCGUGCGUAGGCGGUUUGUUAAGUCUGUUGUGAAAUCCCCGGGCUCAACCUGGGAAUGGCAAUGGAUACUGGCAAGCUAGAGUGUGUCAGAGGAUGGUGGAAUUCCCGGUGUAGCGGUGAAAUGCGUAGAGAUCGGGAGGAACAUCAGUGGCGAAGGCGGCCAUCUGGGACAACACUGACGCUGAGGUAUGAAAGCGUGGGGAGCAAACAGGAUUAGAUACCCCAGUAGUCCCUGUCUCUUAUAC
rnacentral:rRNA from 1 species